rnacentral:tRNA from 1 species
AGAGUAAUCGCUCAGUGGUAGAGCACAUGCUUAGCAUGCAUGAGGUCCUGUUCAAUCCCCAGUACCUCCA